AAGCUUGUGUUUGCUUUAUCAGUGGGAGAAAAAGAGGCGUAAGACUGAAAUCUAAAAAAAUAGAAUCUUCUGUGUUGAAUUCAAUUAUUCUGACGGAACCAGAAAAAGAAAAACAGAGUAUUGUGCCUCAAUGACCUUGGGUGGUGUGAUGAAAUUGGGUUGUCCUGUUGAAGCGGCAUCUUGCAAUGCCUUGUUGACGGGCUCGAAAGGCAAAGAGAUUCAAAAGAUCAUUUAACUGUUGGCAGAGAUGGAAGAAACGAAAAUACGGAUCCAGUGUUAUAACCUUUGGUAUUAUUAUUAAUCAGAUAUGCAAGGCUAGGAGGAUCGAUGAGGCGUUGAGGGUAUUUGAUAAAUUGAGAGGUAAUGGAGAAAAUAAUAGGAUUGGUGUGGAACAUGAUGUGGUCUUGUAUAAUACUUUGAUUGACAAACUUAGUAAAGUUGGGAGGGAAGAAGAUGGUUUGAGUUUUCUGGCAUAGAGGAAAACUGAGAAGAAAAAUAGGCCAAACAUUGUUCCAUAUAAUUGCUUGAUUGAUGGGUUAGGCAAAGCUGAAAGGAAACGUUGUUACUUAUACUGUUCUGAUAUCUGCAUUCUGUGGUGUGAACAAUAUUGAUAAAGCCAUGCAAUAUUUUGAUGAGAUGUUGAGUUCUGGAUGCUGACCGGAUGCAAUUGUUUACAUGCAGUUUGGUAUCUGGCUUAAGCAUUGCUGGAAGGAUAGGUGAUGACAGUGUUGUUAUGUUACAGUUGAAACGGGCUGGAAGGAUAGGUGAUGCCAGUGUUGUUAUGUCACAAUUGAAACGGGCUGGGUUCAGUCUUGAUACAUAAGAGGCAGUUAUACAUUCAUUCAUAUUGUUUAAAGAAGAAUGUUGAUGAGGCCAUGAAGUCACUCUGUUCAUGAUGUAUUUUAUAUCAUAUCCAAGGGUUCUAAUUAUAGGCAGACAACAAGAGCUCUAUGAUUACAAAAAGGAUUUAAUAAAGGAGUUCUAAUUACAGUAUUAAUGAGCAAAAUUGGAGUUGAUGAUGAUCAGUGUAGUGUUGUGAACUUGGAGUUUAAGAAUGAAAGACUACUUAGACAAAUUCAUCAAAGGAAUUACUGGAGUUUGAAGUAGAGGUUGUGUCGUUGGGUUGGGCUCUAUGCUCACUAAGCUUGAUUCUGAUUUGCAACGGAAGAUUAGGUGCACAGGCUUGAAGUGUGGUAAUGAGGUACACAAUUUUUGAUAUAGUCAAUGACAAAUAAUUUUUUUGGAAAUUCUCUUGAAAUACGUAUCAGAUCCCAUACUCUCUCAUAUCUCGUAUUAUUUUUAUCAAUAGUACCUUGCUAGUUUUGUACUUCUGCAUACUUUUUAUGCUUUAGUUUUUUUGUAGAAUAUCUUUUUCUUUGCUCGACUUCAUCUGAGUACUAAAGAGCUAAAUAGCUUAUUGAAUAAGCCCGUUGAAUAGAGUAUACAUAUAGAAAAUAAAUAUGUAUACUGAAUAAUUAAGCUAAAGACUGGAUGUUUGUUCCUUUCAAAGUAGCUCUCCCCUCUCAUUAUAGCUGUUGAAUUAAUCAUCAGCUAAUUCUUUUAAAAAUAAUGUAUAUAAUUAUAGUUGUCAACAUAGUUGGUUUAGUAUUGUGAAGAGGAUAGUUGCUUGUUUUAGAAUUUAGAAAUGAGAAUCAUUCUUUAAUCAUUGUUCAUUUUGUGUGGCGAAUGCUACAAACUGAUGUUUUUUCCCAGUUAUAUAAAUAUGUUUAUUCAAUGGA